UGGUCAAGUUAUUAAGGGUGCAGGGCGGAUGCCUUGGCACUAGGAGCCGAUGAAGGACGUGAUAAGCUGCGAUAAGCUUCGGGGAGUUGCACGUAAACUUUGAUCCGAAGAUUUCCGAAUGAGGAAACUCACUUAGAGUAAUGUCUAAGUAUCAUUAAGUGAAUACAUAGCUUAAUGAGGGGAACUCAGGGAACUGAAACAUCUAAGUACCUGAAGGAAGAGAAAGAAAUUCGAUUCCGUAAGUAGCGGCGAGCGAACGCGGAUUAGCCCAAACCAAUAAAGUUUUCUUUAUUGGGGUUGAGGACAUACCACAUAUAAGAGGUCAUUAUAGACGAAGAAGUUUGGAAAAACUCAUCAUAGAAGGUAAUAAUCCUGUAGUCAAAAUAAUAAUUCUUUAGGUAUGAUCCAGAGUACCACGGGACACGUGAAACCCUGUGGGAAGCAGGAGGGACCACCCUCCAAGGCUAAAUACUACCUAGUGACCGAUAGCGUAUAGUACCGUGAGGGAAAGGUGAAAAGAACCCCGGGAGGGGAGUGAAAUAGAACCUGAAACCCUGCACUUACAAGCUGUGGAAGCACAUUUCUUGUGUGACCGCGUACUUUUUGUAGAACGGGCCAACGAGUUACGUUAAGUAGCAAGGUUAAGCACUUAAGGUGUGGAGCCGUAGCGAAAGCGAGUUUUAACUGAGCGUUCAGUUACUUGACGUAGACCCGAAACCGGGCGACCUACCCAUGAGCAGGAUGAAGCGAAAGUAAAAUUUCGUGGAGGUCCGAACCCACGAGCGUUGAAAAGCUCGGGGAUGACUUGUGGGUAGCGGUGAAAUUCCAAUCGAGCCCGGAGAUAGCUGGUUCUCCCCGAAAUAGCUUUAGGGCUAGCCUCAAGGUGAGAGAUACGGAGGUAGAGCACUGAAUGUCCUAGGGGGUAUUGCACCUACCGAAGACUAUCAAACUCCGAAUGCCGUCAUCUUAUACUUGGGAGUCAGACUGUGGGUGAUAAGAUUCAUAGUCGAAAGGGCAACAGCCCAGAUCGUCAGCUAAGGUCCCUAAAUGUAAGUUAAGUGGUAAAGGAUGUGGGAUUGCACAGACAACCAGGAUGUUGGCUUAGAAGCAGCCACUCAUUCAAAGAGUGCGUAAUAGCUCACUGGUCGAGUGAUCCUGCGCCGAAGAUUUCCGGGGCUAAAACUUACUACCGAAGCUACGGCAUCAGUAAUGAUGGGUAGGGGAGCUUCCCAUACGGGUUGAAGCAUGAUCGUAAGGACAUGUGGACAGUAUGGGAGUGAGAAUGUUGGCAUGAGUAGCGAGAUGUGGGUGAGAAUCCCACAGGCCGUAAACCCAAGGUUUCCAGGGGAAGGUUCGUCCGCCCUGGGUUAGUCGGGACCUAAGCUGAGGCCGAAAGGCGUAGGUGAUGGACAACAGGUUGAUAUUCCUGUACUACCGAUAACCAUUUGAGAGAAGGGAUGACACAGUAGGAUAAGCUAAGCACACUGUUGGUUAUGUGUGCCCAAGCAUUGAGGCAGUCAAAGUAGGCAAAUCCGCUUUGAUAAUGCUGGGAUGUGAUGGGGAGCGAAAUUUAGUAGCGAAGUAGCUGAUUUCACACUGUCAAGAAAAGUCUCUAUCGAGGUUAAAGGUACCCGUACCGCAAACCGACACAGGUGGGUGAGGAGAGUAUCCUAAGGCCAGCGAGAGAACUGUUGUUAAGGAACUCGGCAAAAUGACCCCGUAACUUAGGGAUAAGGGGUGCCACCAUCAGGUGGCCGCAGAGAAUAGGCCCAAGCGACUGUUUACCAAAAACAUAGGUUUCUGCUAAGUCGCAAGACGAUGUAUAGGAGCUGACGCCUGCCCGGUGCUGGAAGGUUAAGGGGAUCUGUUAGAGCAAUCGAAGCAGUGAACUUAAGCCCCAGUAAACGGCGGCCGUAACUAUAACGGUCCUAAGGUAGCGAAAUUCCUUGUCGGGUAAGUUCCGACCCGCACGAAAGGCGUAACGAUUUGGGCACUGUCUCAACAACAGACUCGGUGAAAUUGUAAUUCCGGUGAAGAUGCCGGAUACCUGCGACAGGACGGAAAGACCCCAUGGAGCUUUACUGUAGCUUGACAUUGGGUCUUGGUACUACAUGUACAGGAUAGGUGGGAGGCUUUGAAACCAGGACGCCAGUUUUGGCGGAGCCAUCCUUGGGAUACCACCCUUGUAGUACUGGGACUCUAACCAUAGGCCAUGAAUCUGGUCUUGGGACACUGUCAGGUGGGCAGUUUGACUGGGGCGGUCGCCUCCCAAAAGGUAACGGAGGCGCUCAAAGGUUCUCUCAGUACGGUCGGAAAUCGUACGUAGAGUGUAAAGGCAAAAGAGAGCUUGAUUGCAAGACAUACAGGUCGAGCAAGGAUGAAAAUCGGACUUAGUGAUCCGGUGGUUCUGCGUGGAAGGGCCAUCGCUCAACGGAUAAAAGCUACCCUGGGGAUAACAGGCUUAUCUCCCCCAAGAGUCCACAUCGACGGGGAGGUUUGGCACCUCGAUGUCGGCUCAUCACAUCCUGGGGCUGUAGUAGGUCCCAAGGGUUGGGCUGUUCGCCCAUUAAAGUGGUACGCGAGCUGGGUUCAGAACGUCGUGAGACAGUUCGGUCCCUAUCCGUCGCAGGCGUAGGAAAUUUGAGAAGACCUGUCCUUAGUACGAGAGGACCGGGAUGGACGUACCUCUGGUGUACCAGUUGUCCUGCCAAGGGCAUGGCUGGGUAGCUAUGUACGGAAUGGAUAAGCGCUGAAAGCAUCUAAGCGCGAAGCCAACUUCAAGAUAAGAUUUCCCACCGCAAGGGUAAGACCCCAGAAAGACUAUCUGGUUGAUAGGUCGAAGGUGUAAGUGCAGCAAUGUAUUUAGCUUAUCGAUACUAAUAGGUCGAGGACUUGACCAAU
rnacentral:rRNA from 1 species